rnacentral:rRNA from 1 species
AACGAACGCUGGCGGCAGGCUUAACACAUGCAAGUCGAACGAGAUCUUCGGAUCUAGCGGCAGACGGGUGAGGAACACGUGGGAACAUCCCUUUCAGUUCGGAAUAACGUUGGGAAACUCACGCUAAUACCGGAUACGUCCUUCGGGAGAAAGAUUUAUCGCUGAAAGAUUGGCCCGCGCCUGAUUAGCUAGUUGGUGAGGUAACGGCUCACCAAGGCUACGAUCAGUAGCUGAUCUGAGAGGAUGAUCAGCCACAUUGGGACUGAGACACGGCCCAAACUCCUACGGGAGGCAGCAGUGGGGAAUAUUGGACAAUGGGCGCAAGCCUGAUCCAGCCAUGCCGCGUGAGUGAUGACGGCCUUCGGGUUGUAAAGCUCUUUUGUCCGGGAAGAUAAUGACUGUACCGGAAGAAUAAGCCCCGGCAAACUUCGUGCCAGCCGCCGCGGUAA